rnacentral:piRNA from 1 species
GCCGCUGCAGGUCGGAGACACUGU